GGGUUGUGAGGUUAAGCGACUAAGCGUACACGGUGGAUGCCCUGGCAGUCAGAGGCGAUGAAGGACGUGCUAAUCUGCGAUAAGCGCCGGUAAGGUGAUAUGAACCGUUAUAACCGGCGAUUUCCGAAUGGGGAAACCCAGUGUGACUCGUCACACUAUCAUUAACUGAAUCCAUAGGUUAAUGAGGCGAACCGGGGGAACUGAAACAUCUAAGUACCCCGAGGAAAAGAAAUCAACCGAGAUUCCCCCAGUAGCGGCGAGCGAACGGGGAGGAGCCCAGAGCCUGAAUCAGCAUGUGUGUUAGUGGAAGCGUCUGGAAAGGCGCGCGAUACAGGGUGACAGCCCCGUACACAAAAGCGCAUGUGCUGUGAGCUCGAUGAGUAGGGCGGGACACGUGGUAUCCUGUCUGAAUAUGGGGGGACCAUCCUCCAAGGCUAAAUACUCCUGACUGACCGAUAGUGAACCAGUACCGUGAGGGAAAGGCGAAAAGAACCCCGGCGAGGGGAGUGAAAAAGAACCUGAAACCGUGUACGUACAAGCAGUGGGAGCACAGGUUUACCUGUGUGACUGCGUACCUUUUGUAUAAUGGGUCAGCGACUUAUAUUCUGUAGCAAGGUUAACCGUAUAGGGGAGCCGGAGGGAAACCGAGUCUUAAUUGGGCGUUAAGUUGCAGGGUAUAGACCCGAAACCCGGUGAUCUAGCCAUGGGCAGGUUGAAGGUUGGGUAACACUAACUGGAGGACCGAACCGACUAAUGUUGAAAAAUUAGCGGAUGACCUGUGGCUGGGGGUGAAAGGCCAAUCAAACCGGGAGAUAGCUGGUUCUCCCCGAAAGCUAUUUAGGUAGCGCCUCGUGAAUUCAUCUCCGGGGGUAGAGCACUGUUUCGGCUAGGGGGCCAUCCCGGCUUACCAACCCGAUGCAAACUGCGAAUACCGGAGAAUGUUAUCACGGGAGACACACGGCGGGUGCUAACGUCCGUCGUGAAGAGGGAAACAACCCAGACCGCCAGCUAAGGUCCCAAAGUCAUGGUUAAGUGGGAAACGAUGUGGGAAGGCCCAGACAGCCAGGAUGUUGGCUUAGAAGCAGCCAUCAUUUAAAGAAAGCGUAAUAGCUCACUGGUCGAGUCGGCCUGCGCGGAAGAUGUAACGGGGCUAAACCAUGCACCGAAGCUGCGGCAGCGACGCUGAUGCGUUGUUGGGUAGGGGAGCGUUCUGUAAGCCUGCGAAGGUGGCCUGUGAGGGUUGCUGGAGGUAUCAGAAGUGCGAAUGCUGACAUAAGUAACGAUAAAGCGGGUGAAAAGCCCGCUCGCCGGAAGACCAAGGGUUCCUGUCCAACGUUAAUCGGGGCAGGGUGAGUCGACCCCUAAGGCGAGGCCGAAAGGCGUAGUCGAUGGGAAACGGGUUAAUAUUCCCGUACUUGGUGUUACUGCGAAGGGGGGACGGAGAAGGCUAUGUUGGCCGGGCGACGGUUGUCCCGGUUUAAGCGUGUAGGUGUGUGUUCCAGGUAAAUCCGGUUCACUUUAACACUGAGGCGUGACGACGAGGCACUACGGUGCUGAAGCAACAAAUGCCCUGCUUCCAGGAAAAGCCUCUAAGCAUCAGGUAACAUCAAAUCGUACCCCAAACCGACACAGGUGGUCAGGUAGAGAAUACCAAGGCGCUUGAGAGAACUCGGGUGAAGGAACUAGGCAAAAUGGUGCCGUAACUUCGGGAGAAGGCACGCUGACAUGUAGGUGAAGUGAUUUACUCAUGGAGCUGAAGUCAGUCGAAGAUACCAGCUGGCUGCAACUGUUUAUUAAAAACACAGCACUGUGCAAACACGAAAGUGGACGUAUACGGUGUGACGCCUGCCCGGUGCCGGAAGGUUAAUUGAUGGGGUCAGCGCAAGCGAAGCUCCUGAUCGAAGCCCCGGUAAACGGCGGCCGUAACUAUAACGGUCCUAAGGUAGCGAAAUUCCUUGUCGGGUAAGUUCCGACCUGCACGAAUGGCGUAAUGAUGGCCAGGCUGUCUCCACCCGAGACUCAGUGAAAUUGAACUCGCUGUGAAGAUGCAGUGUACCCGCGGCAAGACGGAAAGACCCCGUGAACCUUUACUAUAGCUUGACACUGAACAUUGAGCCUUGAUGUGUAGGAUAGGUGGGAGGCUUUGAAGUGUGGACGCCAGUCUGCAUGGAGCCGACCUUGAAAUACCACCCUUUAAUGUUUGAUGUUCUAACGUGGACCCGUUACCCGGGUUGCGGACAGUGUCUGGUGGGUAGUUUGACUGGGGCGGUCUCCUCCUAAAGAGUAACGGAGGAGCACGAAGGUUGGCUAAUCCUGGUCGGACAUCAGGAGGUUAGUGCAAUGGCAUAAGCCAGCUUGACUGCGAGCGUGACGGCGCGAGCAGGUGCGAAAGCAGGUCAUAGUGAUCCGGUGGUUCUGAAUGGAAGGGCCAUCGCUCAACGGAUAAAAGGUACUCCGGGGAUAACAGGCUGAUACCGCCCAAGAGUUCAUAUCGACGGCGGUGUUUGGCACCUCGAUGUCGGCUCAUCACAUCCUGGGGCUGAAGUAGGUCCCAAGGGUAUGGCUGUUCGCCAUUUAAAGUGGUACGCGAGCUGGGUUUAGAACGUCGUGAGACAGUUCGGUCCCUAUCUGCCGUGGGCGCUGGAGAACUGAGGGGGGCUGCUCCUAGUACGAGAGGACCGGAGUGGACGCAUCACUGGUGUUCGGGUUGUCAUGCCAAUGGCACUGCCCGGUAGCUAAAUGCGGAAGAGAUAAGUGCUGAAAGCAUCUAAGCACGAAACUUGCCCCGAGAUGAGUUCUCCCUGAGACUUAGAGUCUCCUGAAGGAACGUUGAAGACGACGACGUUGAUAGGCCGGGUGUGUAAGCGCAGCGAUGCGUUGAGCUAACCGGUACUAAUGAACCGUGAGGCUUAACCUUACAACGCCGAAG
rnacentral:rRNA from 1 species